GUGAUGCUCUGGACGUUGAGAAGCUUUGGUCCAGGGCUGAAGCUUUCAUAGGACAAGAAAGGCCUAGACGCACACAUAAACUUGCCCAAGGAUCACACACCAUGUUAGUAACAGAGCCAGGGCUGAAACUGGUACGGAGUGAAGACGGAAGAAAACACAGAAAAUGAAAAUGAAUCUACAGUGACAGAAAGCAGAUCGAUGAAGAGGGUUCGGAAGGGGGGGGAGGAAGAUAUUGGAAGAGAGCCCAAGGUGAUGUCUGGGGAAGGCGAGGGGAAGCAGGCCACGGCGGAACAGCAGGAACGGAAGCUGAGCUGCAGAAGGUUACGUGAGGCCCAGCCGGCUGCUCACCCAACCCAAACUGAAUGGGAGACACAGGAUGGGCUCUAGAUCAAAGCUACUUGCUUGAGCAUCUUAAAUUUUGUUAAUAGGCCUUUUCAUUUGGCAUUUUCAUUUGCAGGAGAAAGCUUCAGCGAUGUUCAGAGAAAAACAGUGAUUAAAAAAAUAGCAUAAGGACGAAAGGGACGUUGGACAGGGAAGCAAGGUCACUGGCGUGAGAAUGGUGGUUUGCUCCCCAAGACCUCACCAAAUAGUCAAGGUUCCUUCAAGAAUUCAAGGUCCCCUGUUAACUCUUCAGGUUUAACCGCAUGGAACCAAAAAGCCCAGAAUGAGUUUGUUUGUCUCAUAUGAAGUCAAUCCAGAGUGAGAGUCCAGGGCCCCAGUCAAGGGUAGCUCAGUAAAGUCAGCAGGAGCCCAGGGUCCUGCUGGCUCUCCCCUCCUGGAUUCCCAGGGUAUAGCCCAGUCCUUUUGGCCCCAGAUGGCUUCUGAAACUCUACACACAGGUAGCAGGAGGCCGGAGGGUGGAGAAAGCAAACCAGGCACGCCCUCUCCCUUGUUGUACUUCUGGAAAUCUUAGGUCUUCUUGGCCAGAAUUCUUUGCAUGGCCACACUAGAAAGGAUGCUGGAACCUUCUGCUGGUGGAUACCUACUGCUGCACUCUACCUCAGGACUAAGUCAAUGAAUUCCUGUGGCUCACGCAACACACAAGCAGAGGGGAGACCGAGGGAGCUCCUUUUGUGCGGCACAAAGAAGAGAGGCAUUCCUCCUGGUCUCCUGGCAGGCAGCCUUUUCUAUUAACAUGAUUAAAAUACUCUAAACACUGUUUCAGUUGGCCAAGCUGAACCUACUGAAGGAAG